GACGAACGCUGGCGGCGUGCCUAAUACAUGCAAGUCGAACGCAGUGGGGACGGGUGAGUAACACGUGGGGACUCUCCCAUCAGAGGGGAUAACACUUGGAAACAGGUGCUAAACCGAUAUCGAAGGAUGGACCCGCGGUGCAUUAGCCAGUUGGUGAGGUAACGGCUCACCAAGGCCACGAUCCAUAGCCGACCGGAGAGGGUGAUCGGCCACACUGGGACUGAGACACGGCCCAGACUCCUACGGGAGGCAGCAGUAGGGAAUCUUCGGCAAUGGACGAAAGUCUGACCGAGCAACGCCGCGUGAGUGAUGAAGGUUUUCGGGUCGUAAAGCACUGUUGUUAGAGAAGCGGUAUCUAACCAGAAAGCCACGGCUAACUACGUGCCAGCAGCCGCGGUAAUUC
rnacentral:rRNA from 1 species